CCUACGGGUGGCAGCAGUGGGGGAUAUUGCACAAUGGGGGGAACCCUGAUGCAGCGACGCCGCGUGAACGAAGAAGUAUUUCGGUAUGUAAAGUUCUUUUAUCGGAGAAGAAAGAGAAAUUUGACGGUAACCAAUGAAUAAGCUCCGGCUAACUACGUGCCAGCAGCCGCGGUAAUACGUAGGGAGCGAGCGUUAUCCGGAAUUAUUGGGCUUAAAGGGUGCGUAGAUGGUUGAUAUAAGUCUUUUGUAAAAAUGCUAGGCUCAACCUAGUAGGGCAAAAGAUACUGAUGAACUAGAGUACGGCAGAGGCAAGGGGAACUAGAUGUGUAGCGGUAAAAUGCGUAAAUAUAUGUAAGAACACCGGUGGCGAAGGCGGCUUGCUGGGCCUGUACUGACAUUGAGGCACGAAAGCGUGGGGAGCAAACAGGAUUAGAUACCCGAGUAGUC
rnacentral:rRNA from 1 species